UAAUGUAUAUUAAGCUAAUUUUGGUAAGCAAUCUAGCUAAUUGUCAGUGUCGUUUAUUGGCUUAAACUUGUUUAUCAGAUCCAUCUCCUAAAUCUUCAACUAAUAUUGAAAAACUCAGUGAUAAACAAGUUUAAGCAAAAUUAACUAAUAUUGUAAAUGUGACACUCCACUAGAUCUUUUGUUUAAGCAAGGCAAACUAAUACAGUAGCAUAUUAAAAAGUUUAAGCAAUCUAGCUAAUCGUCGAAUCUUCAUCAGAUGCAGAAAUUGAAUGUUGUUCUUCUUAAUUUAAACUUGUUUAUCACUGAGUUUUUCAAUAUUAGUUGAAGAUUUAGGAGAUGGAUCUGAUUGAGUCUCGAUGUUGAUUAAGGGGAUCUGAGAUUUUGGCCGUGAAUCGGUGAAGAGAAGAAAUAACGAAUCUGUGAUGGAAAUGAAAACUAGGGUUUGAGAUCAUGGAAGAGAUGGUUGUGGUUGCUGCUAGAAAUGAAAUUCGAAUUUAUGAAUAUCCAGGGUUGAAUUCUGAUGCCGAGAAUUGAAUUGAAUUGAACAGUGGAAAUUGGAAUUGAGGUGCUGUUUAGUGGAUGUAAUGGUGAAGUUGAAGGCUCAGAGCAGAUGAUAGUGGAUUUUGACAGUCAGUGUUGGUGAAACUGGGAAGCUGCGGGUUGUUGAUUGAUUGAAGGGGAAAUUGGUGUUUGCUGUUAUAGAUGGCUAGGUCAAGAAUGCAACAACGGAGGAUCUGGUGGUACUAAUGGAAUUGAAAUGUUUAUGCAGUGGUUGUAUGUGAGAUUGCAGGUGGUUGUUGGUGGUGCCGUAAUUGGAAUCUGGUGGCCGUGUCACAGAGGAGAAUGGGUGUUGCAGGAACAAAAGAUGUUUGUAGAUUGUCGGAGCUGCAAUAGGUUGUAUAAAGUGCAGUGACAAUGGCUUAAGGCUAUGUUGGUGUUGCUGUUACAUUGGUUAAGUGCUGAGUGGGGAGAGCUAAUGCUAUUGAUUGAGGUACUGACAUGGGUUCCAUUUAACUUCCAAGGAAGAGUAUCGAAUUCACCAUGAUGCAUCGGUUGACGCUAAAUGAAAAUGUUCAGACCUUCCAUUGACAAGUAAACAAGUUGUGCCUGAUGUUUCUUAUAAGGAGUUGGGUUUGUUGAAUGAGAAGAUAUGGCUGCUGCUAUAACUGAGAUUUUAAUGAGAUGCAGAAGAUAGAAUUGUCAGGGCUGAUGUUGUUGCAGAGCUGGAGAUUUCAGGGUUAUAGUGCUAGUGGAUUGGAGGCUUAAUUGUGUUGCAGCCAAGGAUUGUGUUGCACUAUGUAUGUUUUUCAGUUGAGCACUUGAAAAAAAGGUGCAGUUGGUUAAUAGUGGUUCGAAGAAUGUAUUGCUUGAAUAUAACUUUAUGUAAUUGGACACAACUUCUGCUAGUUGCCUCCAUAUACCGAGACAACUUGAACUAGUUGCCUCCAUAUACAAAGACAACUUUGGUCGGUUACCUCCAUAUACCUACUACAUAUAAGGAGAUAACCAUGGACCUAAGAGUGCUGGUUAGUACAGUUACAGAUGAGCUUAUGGAAGGAGAUGUUUGUGCUAUGUUGAUGUUGACUGGAAUGAUAAUGCCAUGGAGAUUAGAAGGCAUAAUAUAAGUAGAAAAUGAAGAAGAUGGUUGUGCUGCUAAUGCUUAUGCUUUGAAUCAAGAGAAUAAAUGAAUGCUUAGGAAGUUUGAGCAGGAACUGAAUGUGUAUCCAGUCAUUAAAGAGCAGAACAAGGAGUUUGUUGCUGCGUGUGUGUUGUUGAUGGUGUUUGGGUAAGGGCAUGAAAGUGACUGCAUCUGUGUGGCUCAUGUUGCAAGUGUACAUAGAUGGUUGUGGUCAUGAAGCUAUUGCAGGUAGAGUUUUGGUCAUGAAGCUAUUGCAGUAGCAGAGAUGGAGGAUGUGAUACUGUCUGGUGGUGGUUCGAAUUGUUGGGUGUGCAAUGAAAAGAGAUAUGAAGUGGCAGGUGCUGGUAUGCGAUUUUGAUAUGUUACUUUGUAUUGACGAAUCUUUGGUGCUAUAGUAGCACAACUGACUAUAUGUCAGAAGAUGUGUGUUCCACUCACACUAGGUUCA